GACGAACGCUGGCGGCGUGCUUAACACAUGCAAGUCGAACGGGAGUAUUGAAGAAGCUUGCUUUAGAGAUACUUUAGUGGCGGACGGGUGAGUAACGCGUGAGGAGCUGUCCAAUGCAGGGGGACAACAGUUGGAAACGACUGCUAAUACCCCAUAAGCCGAGAGGUAAAAGGAUUUAUCCGGCAAUGGAGGUACUCGCGUCCUAUCAGCUAGUAGGUGAGGUAACGGCUCACCUAGGCGAAGACGGGUAGCCGGCCUGAGAGGGCGAACGGCCACACUGGAACUGAGAUACGGUCCAGACUCCUACGGGAGGCAGCAGUGGGGAAUAUUGGGCAAUGGGGGAACCCUGACCCAGCGACGCCGCGUGGGUGAAGAAAUCCUUCGGGAUGUAAAGCCCUGUUGUAUGGGAAGAGCGGAAGACGGUACCAUACGAGGAAGCCCCGGCAAACUACGUG
rnacentral:rRNA from 1 species